CCUACGGGAGGCAGCAGUGGGGAAUAUUGCACAAUGGGGGAAACCCUGAUGCAGCGACGCCGCGUGAAGGAAGAAGUAUUUCGGUAUGUAAACUUCUAUCAGCAGGGAAGAAAAUGACGGUACCUGACUAAGAAGCCCCGGCUAACUACGUGCCAGCAGCCGCGGUAAUACGUAGGGGGCAAGCGUUAUCCGGAUUUACUGGGUGUAAAGGGAGCGUAGGCGGGUUAGCAAGUCAGAAGUGAAAGCCCGGGGCUCAACUCCGGGACUGCUUUUGAAACUGUUGAACUAGAGUGCAGGAGAGGUAAGUGGAAUUCCUAGUGUAGCGGUGAAAUGCGUAGAUAUUAGGAGGAACACCAGUGGCGAAGGCGGCUUACUGGACUGUAAAUGACGCUGAGGCUCGAAAGCGUGGGGAGCAAACAGGAUUAGAUACCCCUGUAGUC
rnacentral:rRNA from 1 species